GACGAACGCUGGCGGCGUGCUUAACACAUGCAAGUCGAACGGAAAGGCCCUGCUUUUGUGGGGUGCUCGAGUGGCGAACGGGUGAGUAACACGUGAGUAACCUGCCCUUGACUUUGGGAUAACUUCAGGAAAUUGGGGCUAAUACCGGAUAGGAGUUCCUGAUGCAUGGUGGGGGUUGGAAAGUUUUGGCGGUUGGGGAUGGACUCGCGGCUUAUCAGCUUGUUGGUGGGGUAGUGGCUUACCAAGGCUUUGACGGGUAGCCGGCCUGAGAGGGUGACCGGCCACAUUGGGACUGAGGUACGGCCCAGACUCCUACGGGACGCAACAGUGGGGAAUAUUGCGCAAUGGGCGGGAGCCUGAUGCGGCAACGCCGCGUGCGGGAUGACGGCCUUCGGGUUGUAAACCGCUUUCGCCUGUAACGAAGCGUGAGUGACGGUAAUGGAUAAAGAAGCACCGGCUAACUACGUG
rnacentral:rRNA from 1 species